rnacentral:rRNA from 1 species
GGGAACUACGAGCCAAGCUUAAAACCCAAAGGACUUGACGGUACCCCAUAUCCCCCUAGAGGAGCCUGUCCUAUAAUCGAUAACCCCCGUUUAACCUCACCAUUUCUAGCAACUCAGCCUGUAUACCCUGGGUCUCCAA